CCCUGACCUCCCUGGCACGGGUGGCCACUGGCAUUUUAUUACCUGUGCUUGUAGCCAGCAAAAUCAACAAGUAAGACCAUUAUGGAGAAAUCCAGAAAGAAACAGACACACUGCAGCCCAAGUUCUUCUCAGAUGGGAAAGCCAUCCACUCACCUUCAAUUCCAGAAGAGCUCAUCCCCAGAAGAAGACAGUGCUGCACCCGAAUCAGUUGGUAUGAAUCCACCACAGGAAUGACAGUAAGGAACAGACCAACAAUCAAGUAUCAGACCAUCCAUCCGCAAGAGUGAAGCUGAGCUGGUGGGCAGGGACCACUCUGACCAAGGCUGGAUGGCCCAGGACAUCUUUUGCCCCCUGAUAAGCCAAGUCCUAAAGUCAGGAUCUCAAGGACGGACUCCAAGGGGUCUGACUCCAAGGGGUCUGGGGAGGGGAGCAAUACGUGGAUGUAACCCUUAUCUGUUCCCCUUUCCAGUGCAGCCACCCCGAAUAAUCUCCAUUCUCCGCUUUUCACAUCACCCAUCUCUGACUGACUGAGCCUCGCUGGGAGCAGGGCUUUUUGUUGUUGGUGGUGGCGGUUUUGUUUUUUUGAGACAGUAGCCCAAGCUGACCCUGAACCUGCUAUGUAGCGAGGAUGACUGGGAACUCCUUAGGCUCCUCCCUCAAGGACUGAGAUUACCAGUGUUCACUACCUCACCUGAUGUACGCAGUACAGGGAGUGCCAGAGCUUCACACAUGAUAGGCAAGCGCUCUACCAACUGAGCUAGUACUAUCCCUGGAC
rnacentral:lncRNA from 1 species